GCUCGGGUGGCGAAAUUGGCAGACGCGCCAGACUUAGGAUCUGGUUCCGCAAGGAAUGUGGGUUCGAGUCCCACCCCGAGCA
rnacentral:tRNA from 1 species